GUCACUGAUUCUUUCACAAAGUAAAAACCGUCCCUGCUCCUUGCACAUGGGGUUUAGUCAGGCAACGAGCGAGACCCGCACCUUUAGUUGCCAGCAGCACCCAUCGGGUGGCUGGGUACACUAGGGGGACUGCCGCUGCCAAAGCGGAGGAAGGAACGGGCAACGGUAGGUCAGUAUGCCCCGAAUGAGCUGGGCUACACGCGGGCUACAAUGGCCGGGACAAUGGGAUGCCACCUCGAAAGAGGGCGCUAAUCUCCUAAACCCGGUCGUAGUUCAGAUUGAGGGCGGAA
rnacentral:rRNA from 1 species